AGCUAAUGAACUUGAUUAAAGUAUAUAUUUUGAAAAUAUAAAAUAGAGAUUACUCUAUUAGCUU
rnacentral:tRNA from 1 species